rnacentral:rRNA from 1 species
AUUGACCGCUGGCGGCAGGCCUAACACAUGCAAGUCGAGCGGAGCGGCGGACGGGUGAGGAAUGCCUAGGAAUAUGCAUGGUAGUGGGGGAUAAGGUUCGGAAACGGGCGCUAAUACCGCUUACUCUCAGAUGAGGCUAGGUCGGAUUAGCUAGUUGGUGGGGUAAAGGUCUACAAAGGCGACGAUCCGUAACUGGUCUGAGAGGAUGAUCAGUCACACUGGAACUGAGACACGGUCCAGACUCCUACGUGAGGCAGCAGUGGGGAAUAGUGGACAAUGGGCGAAAGCCUGAUCCAGCCAUGCCGCGUGUGUGAAGAAGGUCGUCGGAUUGUAAAGCACUUUAAGUUGGGAGGCGUGACCAACAGAAUAAGCACCGGCUAACUUCGUGCCAGCAGCCGCGGUAAUAC